rnacentral:lncRNA from 1 species
AUUGGUUUGGCUGGCUUGGAUUUAAAGCGAUAGACGCUGUUGGAUUCCUACAAGACGGUCCUCAGUACCCUCCCCACAAGUCUUGGGACCAUUCGGGUCCCCAGAUCUGGGGAGAUGGCUUGCGGCGGAUUUGCCUGUUCCAAGAAUGCGCUGUGCGCUCUCAACGUGGUUUAUAUGCUUGUGGGCUUAUUGCUCAUUGGCGUAGCUGCCUGGGGCAAGGGCCUCGGUGUGGUGUCCAGCAUUCACAUCAUUGGAGGAGUCAUUGCUGUGGGAGUCUUCCUUCUCCUCAUUGCAGUGGCUGGACUGGUGGGUGCCGUGAACCACCAUCAAGUGCUGCUUUUCUUUUAUAUGAUCAUCCUGGGUUUGGUCUUCAUCUUCCAGUUUGGAAUCUCUUGCUCAUGUCUGGCUAUUAACAGAAACACACAGGUAAGGGCAGAUGUCAUCAAUGCUUCGUGGUGGGUCUUGAGCAACAGUACCAGGCAUGAACUGGAGAGAAGUUUUGACUGCUGUGGUUUGUUUAACCUUACAACCGUGCACCUACAUGAUGAUGCUUCCUGCAGUGCACUGUGCAAAACUAGGAGCUCUCCAUGCCAGAUGUGUGGGGAGACAUUCCUAAAACAUUCAGACAAAGCUCUCAAGAUCCUAGGAGGUGUUGGGCUCUUCUUCAGUUUCACAGAGAUCCUCGGUGUUUGGCUAGCAAUGAGAUUCCGGAAUCAAAAAGACCCUCGAGCCAAUCCUAGUGCCUUUCUAUGAGAUUUGAUCUCCCAGACAGGAUCUUUGCAGCCUCGGCUGGUUUCUACCCAGCUCUAGCCAUGGAGGGCCUUGAACUCCGCAUUCUCCUGCCUCAGCCUCCUGCCAGUAUUGCAGGCAUCACCACACUCAGCCAGCCUUGUGAUCCUUCUGACUUGGCCUUGCCUUCUCCCGGCUUUUUAAAUUCUUGGAAACCUAGGAUGGCCACCCCCAACAGGGGUUUUUGUUUUAGAGAGAAAAAGGUCCCUUACCUCACUCCUAAGAACUGAUCAAGUGAUGGCUACAUUUAUUUAUGUCUGUGUAUUUUGAUGGGAAUAUUAUGGAGGGGGAGAGGACUCCAUUUCUCUGCCUAGGAGGGUCUAGCACUCCUAGAAGCACAGGUGGCUGAUGGGAGCCUUUCAUAACUGUUUUCCUUCCCUUCAAGAACAAAAUCAGAACACCAAAGGAAAACCAGUUACAACCCAAGGCCUCACAAGUGCUGGGCAAGUAUUUCUACCAGUCUGUCAUCCCAGCCUCACCUACAAUCUCACAGGACCAGUGGACUUAAACUAAAGCCAUUUUGACCAAAUAUUCAAAGAAAGGAUUUGAAAGAUCCUCUCCGAUCUUGUCAGCCAAAGAGCUGGACUGCCUGCCUAGGUCCUUGCAGGGAACUUGUUUCAUUUGGUUUUUUCUUUUUCAAAUCUCCCAGUGGCAACGCCAAUCAGAAAAACAUUAAAGAAAAAUAAAGACCAUACUUCUUUGUCUUGUUUUGUUUUCCUGUAUAAAAAAGAUCCCAAUAUAAAUCAGGGAGGGAAGAAGACAGAUAAUGCCUGCCCUUUAGUGUAGAGAAACAGGAGGGUGGGGGUGGGGUAAACCUCAUAAGGAGAGGUAGGGAAUUGUCAUUUAAGGCUAAACCGGAGGACUCUCCAUAGCCUCAGGGGAAGGCAGAGGCUGCCACUUCAGCAAGGUUCUUUCCACACAGCGUCCGGAAACUGGAAAAGGCAGCCCCUCUCCUCACUCCGGGUCACUUUCCUCCUUGUGCAGGUAAGAGUGCUGCAGGGCUCGGAAGGCAGAGAUUCGCUUAAGUGGAUUAAAGGUCAGCAUUUCCUAAGGGGAGAGGCAAAGGUCAGAGAACAGCUGAUGAGCUGAUGCCCACCCAACGUGGCUGAAUAGCCUCCUUUAUCCUCCUCUGGCUGACCAUUUGCAGACUGUCCAUAGCCAAAUCUUAGCUCCAGGGCCCCUAAGGUUCUGUUUUGUCUUUGUGUGCACUUGCUCAUGUGUGGAAAUGUGGGUACGCACAAGCCGGUGUUUAUGUGUGGAGCUCAGCAGUCUGGGCUGCUGGUCGUUGCCCUCCAUCUUUUACAAAGUCCAGCACUGCUGUCUUACCAGGGGAUCUGUCCAUCUCGCCACAAGAAUGGCACUACAGAAGCACCUGACUUCUACGUGGAUUCUGGGGAUUUGAACUCAGGUCCUCAGUACUUAUGCAAAGGAGCUCUACCCACUGAGCCAGCUUCCCAGGCCAUGCCGUGUCUUGUCUUAACCCAAUCCCUGCUCAGGCCCAGUACCAGCAGCAACUGCGCUCCAGAUUCCUCCAUCUCCGGCACCACUGACUG